GCGGGCGUAGCUCAGUUGGUAGAGCACCACGUUGCCAACGUGGUUGUCGUGGGUUCGAAGCCCAUCGCCCGCUCCA
rnacentral:tRNA from 1 species